rnacentral:rRNA from 1 species
CUGCUGCCUUCCGUAGGAGUUUGGGCCGUGUCUCAGUCCCAAUGUGGCCGUCCACCCUCUCAGGCCGGCUACUGAUCGUCGCUUUGGUAGGCCGUUACCCUGCCAACUGGCUAAUCAGACGCGGGCCCAUCUUAUACCACCGGAGUUUUUCACCCUGGGCCAUGCGGCCCUGGGCGCUUAUGCGGUCUUAGCACCUAUUUCUAAGUGUUAUCCCCCUGUAUAAGGCAGGUUACCCACGCGUUACUCACCCGUCCGCCACUAAAGUAAAAAUUGUUCCG